AGAGUUUGAUCCUGGCUCAGAUUGAACGCUGGCGGCAUGCCUUACACAUGCAAGUCGAACGGUAACGGGCCUUCGGGUGCCGACGAGUGGCGAACGGGUGAGUAAUGCAUCGGAACGUACCUUUCAGUGGGGGAUAACGUAGCGAAAGUUACGCUAAUACCGCAUAUUCUGUGAGCAGGAAAGCAGGGGAUCGCAAGACCUUGCGCUGAUUGAGCGGCCGAUGUCAGAUUAGCUAGUUGGUGAGGUAAAGGCUCACCAAGGCGACGAUCUGUAGCGGGUCUGAGAGGAUGAUCCGCCACACUGGAACUGAGACACGGUCCAGACUCCUACGGGAGGCAGCAGUGGGGAAUUUUGGACAAUGGGCGCAAGCCUGAUCCAGCCAUGCCGCGUGAGUGAAGAAGGCCUUCGGGUUGUAAAGCUCUUUCGGCCGGGAAGAAAUCGCAUGGGUUAAUACCCUGUGUGGAUGACGGUACCGGAAUAAGAAGCACCGGCUAACUACGUG
rnacentral:rRNA from 1 species